rnacentral:rRNA from 1 species
GACGAACGCUGGCGGCGUGCUUAACACAUGCAAGUCGAACGGAAAGGCCCUGCUUUUGUGGGGUGCUCGAGUGGCGAACGGGUGAGUAACACGUGAGUAACCUGCCCUUGACUUUGGGAUAACUUCAGGAAACUGGGGCUAAUACCGGAUAGGAGCUCCUGCUGCAUGGUGGGGGUUGGAAAGUUUCGGCGGUUGGGGAUGGACUCGCGGCUUAUCAGCUUGUUGGUGGGGUAGUGGCUUACCAAGGCUUUGACGGGUAGCCGGCCUGAGAGGGUGACCGGCCACAUUGGGACUGAGAUACGUCCCAGACUCCUACGGGAGGCAGCAGUGGGGAAUAUUGCACAAUGGGCGGAAGCCUGAUGCAGCAACGCCGCGUGCGGGAUGACGGCCUUCGGGUUGUAAACCGCUUUCGCCUGUGACGAAGCGUGAGUGACGGUAAUGGGUAAAGAAGCACCGGCUAACUACGU